AUGAACGCUGGCGGCGGCCUAACAAUGCAAGUCGAACGGUAACAUUUCUAGCUUGCUAGAAGAUGACGAGUGGCGGACGGGUGAGUAAUGCUUGGGAACUUGCCUUUGCGAGGGGGAUAACAGUUGGAAACGACUGCUAAUACCGCAUAAUGUCUUCGGACCAAACGGGGCUUAGGCUCCGGCGCAAAGAGAGGCCCAAGUGAGAUUAGCUAGUUGGUAAGGUAACGGCUUACCAAGGCGACGAUCUCUAGCUGUUCUGAGAGGAAGAUCAGCCACACUGGGACUGAGACACGGCCCAGACUCCUACGGGAGGCAGCAGUGGGGAAUAUUGCACAAUGGGGGAAACCCUGAUGCAGCCAUGCCGCGUGUGUGAAGAAGGCCUUCGGGUUGUAAAGCACUUUCAGUUGUGAGGAAAAGUUAGUAGUUAAUACCUGCUAGCCGUGACGUUAAUAACAGAAGAAGCACCGGCUAACUCCGUGCCAGCAGCCGCGGUAAUACGGAGGGUGCGAGCGUUAAUCGGAAUUACUGGGCGUAAAGCGCACGCAGGCGGUUUGUUAAGCUAGAUGUGAAAGCCCCGGGCUCA
rnacentral:rRNA from 1 species